GUGGGUGCUAGUUAUCUGACAGGUCACUUUAGCACAUAACCCAAAUUAUAAGGGUCUGAUUGUUUGGCAGUGUAUUAAUAACCUUGAAUCUUGCUAGACUCAGCUGAUAACAUUAGUAAUAUUUUGAAUUAUAUUCGUUUUAUAAAUCUUGAUCUUUUCUGUGUUUUUUUUUAAUAUAUAUUUUGGUGGAUUUUUUGUUGUU
rnacentral:lncRNA from 1 species